UGAAUUGCGAUAAGUAAUGUGAAUUGCAUCACCUGUGAAUCAUCAAAUCUUUGAACGCACCUUGCGCCUUUUGGGUCUACUGAAAGGCAUACCUGUUUGAGUAUCAGAAAGUAUUCUAUCAAUAAUGAAAGUUAUUUGAUAGGAAUUGAGGUCUAUUAUUAUUUUUUAAUAUUCCUUGAAAUUUAGGUAGAAUUUAAUAAUAUUUGAUUCAAAAGUGCGGUAAGAAAAUAUCAUUUUCUCCCACUGAUAAAAGUCCUAUAUUAUUAUUCACACCUACUCUCUUUAACUACUAAUGAACUCUUGAUCUCAAAUCAGGUAGGAUCACCCGCUGAACUUAA
rnacentral:misc_RNA from 1 species